rnacentral:rRNA from 1 species
GUUGAUAAGAACCUCAGCCAGUCAAACACUAUCUUCCAUGGUGUGGCACCUGGUAAGUCGGCUUAUCCAGUCGGCAAGAUCGAGUUGGAAGUGGCCUUCGGAGAUGAAAACAAUUACAGGGUGGAAAAAUUGACCUUUGAGGUGGUCAAGAUAAGAAGUCCGUACCAUGCUAUAUUUGGGCGGCCGGCUUACGCCAAAUUCAUGGCACGGCCGUGUUAUGUUUACUUACAGCUCAAGAUGCCGGGUCAUAAUGGAACCAUUAUGGUUCACGGCAGCUGGAAGGUGGCCUUGGAAUGUGAGGAAGGUGAUGCAGCUUAUGCAGAAUCUGUUUGCGCAACAGAGGAGUUG